rnacentral:lncRNA from 1 species
CGGGGUAUAGUACAUUAAGCCCCCCAAGCCCCGAACAAUUGUUUUGCAGGUGCGAAUGUGUUUAAAUAUGUUGGACAGGUUUGGACGAGAGUGAGAGUUUCUUUCUGCUCGGUUUAAGACGAAAGUGGGAGUUCACGAGGAGCGUUCCCCAUCGCUCGGUUUAAGACGAGAUUGGGAGUUCAUGAGGAGCGUUUCCCACCGCUCGGUUUAGGACGAGAGUGGGAGUUCACGAGGAGCGUUCCCCACCGCUCGGUUUAGGACGAGAGUAGGAGUUCACAAGGAGCGUUCCAUACCGCUCGGUUUAGGACGAGAGUGGGAGUUCACGAGGAGCGUUCCCUACCGCUCGGUUUAGGACGAGAGUGAGAGUUCACGAGGAGCGUUCCCUACCACUCGGUUUAGGACGAGAGUGAGAGUUCACGAGGAGCGUUCCCCACCGCUCGGUUUAGGAAAAGAGUGGGAGUUCACGAGGAGUGUUCCCCACUACUCGGUUUAUGGCCAGGGAUUCUCGGAGGGCGUUCCCUAGGUUUUGUUGACGAGACUUUUCCG